rnacentral:rRNA from 1 species
UACGUAGGGUGCAAGCGUUAAUCGGAAUUACUGGGCGUAAAGCGCACGUAGGCGGAUUUUUAAGUCAGGGGUGAAAUCCCGAGGCUCAACCUCGGAACUGCCUUUGAUACUGGGGAUCUGGAGUCCGGGAGAGGUGAGCGGAACUGCGAGUGUAGAGGUGAAAUUCGUAGAUAUUCGCAAGAACACCAGUGGCGAAGGCGGCUCACUGGCCCGGAACUGACGCUGAGGUGCGAAAGCGUGGGGAGCAAACAGG